rnacentral:rRNA from 1 species
UACGUAGGUGGCAAGCGUUGUCCAGAUUUACUGGGCGUAAAGAGCGCGCAGGCGGUCGAUCAAGUCGCGUGUGAAAGCCCCCGGCUCAACUGGGGAGGGUCACGCGAUACUGAUCGACUCGAAGGCAGGAGAGGGUAGUGGAAUUCCCGGUGUAGUGGUGAAAUGCGUAGAUAUCGGGAGGAACACCAGUGGCGAAGGCGACUACCUGGCCUGUUCUUGACGCUGAGGCGCGAAAGCUAGGGGAGCAAACGGG